UUCUAACCUAGAAACCUAACCUUAAACUUUGACACAGUUCAGCUAGGUUCUUCUCCUAACUAACAAACUAGUUUGUUUAUUUCUGAUUGUAUUGACACUUAUAUCUGAGGCUCCACAAGGAGGGUAUCAAAUUUACCUGAAUUGUCUACACUACAGUACCAUGUGUCCGGACAGAUAUGUACAUCACGUGAUUUAAUUAAGAUAAAAGCUUGGGGUAUUUUGAUUUUAGAUUUUUAACAUGAUAUACAAUAUUUCAGCAACAAAUGCUGAAGAUUUGGAUAUUCUAUUGUUUACUCUGCAAAUGAUUAUAGCUGGUAUAUGAGGUCAGGCAUUGCUUUCUUGACCCUCAAAUUUCAACGUCAACAUUCUAUAAAUAGACAAUAAAAAUAUUACCAUUUACGUAGGUUGAAAUAAAUUUAUUUGCUUAAUUUUAGAAGAAACAUGCAUUUAUUGUUGAUGAAAAAGUGACCGACAACCACUGAACAAAGAAAAUACUAAAUAAAGCAUUUUCGGGGCCGUCCGGGUUUGGUGGUUGUCUGGUUUUGGUGGUCCCAAACCAGUAUAUAAAACAAUAUUCAGAUUUACAUGUACGUAUAUAUAAAUUUAUAUUUAGAUAUAUAUUUUGCAUUAUUAAACAUGUAAAUGUACAUAAAUAAAAUCAAUACUUAAUUUCAGAUAGGACAUCCAUGAUUUACACACCAAUGGUCAUAUGAUGAUUAUCUAAUGUUCAGCUGUCUCUUGUAUCAAGAUGAUACAAGCCACAUUACCAAACCAUGCUGAUGGAACAAACAACGAUAUGAAGGGCGUUGCAUUUCGAAACCCGUUGUGCAUUUCUGAUUUCGGGAUCUACAAGUAAAUAUCAACAUGGCAACAGAUUCUACAACGUGCGUAUUUUGUGCGCAGGAUAUCCAGAAUGGGUCCCAAUUGUCACUCUCAGGGAGAAGGGAAGCAACAGUGUUAACCAUGCUAGCGAUCUGAGGAAUUCAAGUAUACAAGUAUACGAACAAUUACAGGCCAAAUUGUGCACCAAGACUGUAGAAGGGAUUUUAUUCACAAUAGAAACAUUUCAAAUAGUUCCAAUGUUAAGUGUAACCAAGUUAAAAGACCUUUAAGAUCAAAUGCUAACUUUGCUUUUAAGUGUAAUCGCUUGUUCUGUGGUAAGCCUGCUAAAGUUGCAUCUGGUAAACGUAGAUGUUCAUCCUGGUAGAAGUUUUGAUUUUCAGGAAACACAUCGUCGGAACCCACGGUAUACUACAUUUAAUAUUAUUACUGAUAUAUGUAUACGGUAAAUAGCCUGGGUUACCGAGGAUGCAGGAAACAAUACAACUCAAAUGUUCUGAGAGAAACAAUCUGUGGGGAAAUGUUGUUUUAAACAGGCUGUUGUCAGUUUUGGAAUUUCGUCAGAUUCGAAGAAUGUAUAUUUCAGAUCAGACAAUGAAAACCCAAAUAGUGUGGCAUAUAUAUUCAAAAGACACCAAAAUAUGAUUGGAAUAGAGAUUUGUUAUCUCCUACCAUUCCUGCACGCUUUCUCUGGUUGCGACAGUUCUUAAAAUAAUGUGUAAAAAUGAAGUGUUCCGGCAAAAUGCUGCAAUAUUUCAUUCUUCAACAAACAAAGAAGAAAUUAUUACAGGUGAUGAAAAUGCCAUGAGGAUAUUAUAUGAUGGAGCUAGGGAGAUAAAUUUGAACAGACUGAGAUUUCACAAAUUUGUAAUCAAACCCAUGUCAAGUUGAUCUGUUAUUCAAGUUCAAAGCAUUCCGCCUACGUCUGAUGCUGCGGCGCAACAUUCUUUACCGUCAUAUUUUCAAACACAAACAUGGAUUGGAAAUGAUAAAUUAGAUCCAACUGAAUGGGGAUAGGAACUUCUCGAAGGACUCUUUUACCCACAAAAUCUACACAACCCGCUGCUCCAGAUUUUCUUUUAAAUAUUAUCAGAUGCAAUUGCAAAAAAUGCCACUCUUAGAGAUGUACCUGUCGCAAACAUAACCUUGAAUUUUCGGUUGGUUGUGGAGAAUGUCAUUGUAUUAGCUGUUCAAACUGUCGGUCCAUUUCAGAUAUUGAUUUUGCAGACAUGGAGGACUAGAUCUUGUAUCGACGCAAUGCUCUUAGAACUAAGUUGUCAAUUUUUACCUGUUUUGUAUUGAAAUGUAUUCAUAUUUUGUGUUAUUAUUGGCAAUGUACAUGCAUCUGGCAUCUUGUUUUUACAUAAGCAAUAGAGGUUUCACUUUAAGUUAUUCAUAUAAAACUUUGCAGACAAAUAUGUUCUAUAUAUUGAACAGUCUCAUAUUCCUCGCGAAGUAAAUACAAAGUAGCUUUUAAUAAAAACAAAAGAUUUAUAAUAAUACUCUGUUUGCUUGCCAUAUGAAGUAGUUCUUUAGUAUUGUAGUUAUACUCUUUUAUCCAGGGUCAAAUUAUACUAAAAUUUAUGCAGGUGUCUAUCACUUGUACUAGCACCAAACUAUGCGCUAUAACAUAAAUAAAUGUAGUAAAAUGUUUGAAACAAUCUAACUCCAAAUGUACAAUAGUAUUGUAUAUUUAGAGUUAGAUUGUAUAUUGAAUACAUACUUAUCAAUGCUUUCUUAUAUUUGCUUGUGUUGCAACACACUGUUUUUUUUCUAUAAUUGUCAAUGUCAAAGUUCACCUAUUGUAAAUAAAAAUGUAUUACUAUACUGUCUGAAAUACAGAACGAUAAUUUCAAAUUUAUAGAAGUGGUCUUAUAUGUUGUAGACUGUUAUGUGUUAGUACAAGCAUGACAAUAACCCUACCAUAUACUUAAAGUGAUUUAAGUGUACAUAUCGAUGUGACAAAAAUGUAGUUCUUGUGAAUGAAACAGCCUGUAUAUUCGUGUUCUUUAUAUUUAUUAUCACUACAUUGUUGCUUGCCAAAUUAGGUAGCUCUUCGGUACAUUUGUACAUUUGUAAUAUAGUUUUAUUCCGUGUGUAAUGUCAAAUUUCAACAAGUGACACUUAAAUGUAUAUACUACAAUUUCUCCAUAGACCGGGCAUAGUAUUUUUCAUCUGUAGUUUUGGUAAUUGUUACUCGCUCUUAAUUAUACUUACUUGUUGUUGUUGUUCUUUUUUUUGCUUGAAA